rnacentral:lncRNA from 1 species
CCCUCAGAGCAUGAUGGAUGAAGACAGAAAGGUAGGAAAGUUCGAGUGGGGUCUCAGUCCUGAGAUUAGACAACAGCUGUAUGUAUUCGAGCUCAGUACUUACUCAGCCGUUCUGAGCAAGGCACAGCUAGUGGAGAUGAACCUUCGCACUUUUCCUUCAGCAGUAGGGAACCUUAGGCCUUCUGUUUCACAUCACAGACCAGCACCUACUACACCUGUUCAGUAGAAUAAGAGAUUUAGGCCAAUGACUAAGGCUCAUCCUCAGAUUCUGACAACAUGACGCAUUAACACUUGUCAGCACUGUGGCAAGGAUCAUGGGGACCGACUCUACUAUCGUCUCAACAAUACUUGCCACAUAUGUGCGAGUACCCAGCAUUACGCGAGGGAGUGCCUAAGGAAUCAAAAUCAGGCCAGACCCCCUAUCUAGGGCAGGGCUUAUAACCUCACUCAACAAGAUGUAAAAGCUAACCCAGAUGUGAUACAGGGUACGUACACUAUCUGUAAUCAUCUUUCACAUAUUUUGAUUGAUACUGGUGCCUCACAUUCAUUUGUUUCACAUGCUUUUGCAUCAAAU